rnacentral:rRNA from 1 species
ACUGCUAUCGGUAUUCGACUAAGCCAUGCGAGCUAAAUGUUCUUCGUGAACAUAGCGAACUGCUCAGUAACACGUGGAUAACCUGCCCUUAGGUUCGGCAUAACUCCGGGAAACUGGAGAUAAUUCCGAAUAAGCCAUUCAUGCUGGAAUGCUUUUUGGUUCAAAGAUUUCGAUCGCCUAAGGAUGGAUCUGCGGUCUAUCAGGUAGUAGUGGGUGUAACGUACCUACUAGCCUACGACGGAUAUGGGUUGUGAGAGCAAGAGCCCAGAGAUGGAUUCUGAGACAUGAAUCCAGGCCCUACGGGGCGCAGCAGGCGCGAAAACUUUACAAUGCGGGAAACCGCGAUAAGGGGAUACCGAGUGCCAGCAUAUUAUGUUGGCUGUCCACAUGUGUAAACGGCAUGUGUUAGCAAGGGCCGGGCAAGACCGGUGCCAGCCGCCGCGGUAACACCGGCGGCCCGAGUGGUAAUCACUUUUAUUGGGUCUAAAGGGUCCGUAGCCGGUUUGAUCAGUUCUUCGGGAAAUCUGACAGCUCAACUGUUAGGCUUCCGGGGAAUACUGUCAGACUUGGGACCGGGAGAGGUAAGAGGUACUACAGGGGUAGGAGUGAAAUCUUGUAAUCCCUGUGGGACCACCAGUGGCGAAGGCGUCU